UACGUAGGUGGCGAGCGUUGUCCGGAAUUACUGGGUGUAAAGGGAGCGCAGGCGGGGAAUUAAGUUGGAUGUGAAAUACCCAGGCUCAACCUGGGGGCUGCAUCCAAAACUGGUUCUCUUGAGUGGAGUAGAGGUAGGCGGAAUUCCUAGUGUAGCGGUGAAAUGCGUAGAUAUUAGGAGGAACACCAGUGGCGAAGGCGGCCUACUGGGCUUUUACUGACGCUGAGGCUCGAAAGCGUGGGGAGCAAACAGG
rnacentral:rRNA from 1 species